rnacentral:lncRNA from 1 species
UGGCGCCAGAGGUUUGGCACUGUUCGACAGAAAAGCAAGUGACGAUCUCGAGCUGCUCUAUCCGCCCCGCAUAGCCCGGAAAGCGCAAUAGAUGCAGGCCGCACCCAAGGACACCACGGUCCACGACAGUACCUCAUCGCCGCCGCACAGCCAAGAAUGAGGUACAUGUUGUCCGGUCCCGACAUGCUUAACAACGCCAGGAUGCAGGAUGCCUUGAUGAAGAAGCGGCGGGGCCGGCCACUGGGCAACGCCAAAGAAGCACAAGCCUUUCCCCUUCCAAGGUACCCGGUGAUUGCAUCUAAAAAAAUUUCUGUCUUACCUCAUCGCCGCCGCACAGCCAAGAAUGAGGUACAUGUUGUCCGGCCCCGACAUGCUUAACAACGCCAGGAUGCAGGAUGCCUUGAUGAAGAAGCGGCGGGGCCGGCCACUGGGCAACGCCAAAGAAGCACAAGCCUUUCCCCUUCCAAGGUACCCGGUGAUUGCAUCUAAAAAAAUUUCCGUCUAAAAAAGAAUUUCCAUUCAAAUCUCAUCUCAAAUAUAGAAUUCUACUUCCGGUGUUUUUUUUGUCUUCACCUUUAACAUGUACAUGUACUCAAGGUUCAGAAUAGAGAACAUGC